rnacentral:rRNA from 1 species
GACGAACGCUGGCGGCGUGCCUAACACAUGCAAGUCGAGCGGGGUUGAAGCGAGAGGUAACUCGAGUUUCUACCUAGCGGCGGACGGGUGAGUAACGCGUGGGCAACCUGCCUCAAGGUCUGGGAUAACAGCCCGAAAGGGCUGCUAAUACCGGGUAUGCUUGUGGCCUCGCAUGGGGCUAUGAGCAAAGGGGAAACCCGCCUUGAGAUGGGCCCGCGUCCCAUCAGCUAGUUGGUGAGGUAACAGCUCACCAAGGCGACGACGGGUAGCCGGCCUGAGAGGGUGACCGGCCACACUGGGACUGAGACACGGCCCAGACUCCUACGGGGGGCAGCAGUGGGGGAUCUUGCACAAUGGGCGAAAGCCUGAUGCAGCGACGCCGCGUGAGCGAAGAAGGCCUUCGGUUGUAAAGCUCUGUCUGGAGGGACGAAGGAAGUGACGGUACCUCCGGACGGAAGCCGACGGCUAACGUAACCGUG